GAUGAACGCUGGCGGCGUGCCUAAUACAUGCAAGUCGAGCGAACAGAUGAGGAGCUUGCUCCUCUGACGUUAGCGGCGGACGGGUGAGUAACACGUGGAUAACCUACCUAUAAGACUGGGAUAACUUCGGGAAACCGGAGCUAAUACCGGAUAAUAUAUUGAACCGCAUGGUUCAAUAGUGAAAGACGGUUUUGCUGUCACUUAUAGAUGGAUCCGCGCCGCAUUAGCUAGUUGGUAAGGUAACGGCUUACCAAGGCAACGAUUCGUAGCCGACCUGAGAGGGGGGGCCGCCAAAACGGGACUGAGAACCGGGCCCGACUCCCACGGGAGGCAAGAGGGGGGGAUUUUCCCCAAUGGGGGAAAAGCCGACCGAGCCAAGCCGGGUGGAGGAAGAAGGGCUUAGGGUUGGAAAAUCCUUUUUUUAGGGAAAAAAAAAAAGUGGAGAAAAAUGGGCGAGUCUGACGGUACCUAAAGAAAAAGCCCCGGCUAAACACGUG
rnacentral:rRNA from 1 species